rnacentral:rRNA from 1 species
UAACCCCCGUUGAGAAACUAAGCAUAUCAAUAAGCGGAGGAAAAGAAACUAACAAGGAUUCCCCUAGUAACUGCGAGUGAAGCGGGAAAAGCUCAAAUUUGAAAUCUGGCGGUCCUUGGCCGUCCGAGUUGUAAUCUAGAGAAGUGUUACCCGCGCUGGACCAUGUACAAGUCUCCUGGAAUGGAGCGUCAUAGAGGGUGAGAAUCCCGUCUCUGACAUGGACUACCAGGGCUUUGUGGUAUGCUCUCAAAGAGUCGAGUUGUUUGGGAAUGCAGCUCAAAAUGGGUGGUAAAUUCCAUCUAAAGCUAAAUAUUGGCGAGAGACCGAUAGCGAACAAGUACCGUGAGGGAAAGAUGAAAAGAACUUUGGAAAUAGAGUUAAACAGUACGUGAAAUUGCUGAAAGGGAAACGCUUGAAGUCAGUCACGUUGGCCGGGGAUCAGCCUCACAAAUUGUGUGGUGUACUUUCUGGUUGAUGGGUCAGCAUCAAUUUUGACUGUUGGAAAAAGGCUUGGGGAAUGUGACAGCUCUGGCUGUGUUAUAGCCCCUUGUCAUAUACAGCAGUUGGGAUUGAGGAACUCAGCACGCCGCAAGGCCGGGUUUCGACCACGUUCGUGCUUAGGAUGCUGGCAUAAUGGCUUUAAGCGACCCGUCUUGAAACACGGACCAAGGAGUCUAACAUGCCUGCGAGUGUUUGGGUGGAAAACCCGAGCGCAUAAUGAAAGUGAAAGUUGAGAUCCCUGUCGUGGGGAGCAUCGACGCCCGGACCAGAACUUUUGGGACGGAUCCGCGGUAGAGCAUGUAUGUUGGGACCCGAAAGAUGGUGAACUAUGCCUGAAUAGGGUGAAGCCAGAGGAAACUCUGGUGGAGGCUCGUAGCGAUUCUGACGUGCAAAUCGAUCGUCAAAUUUGGGUAUAGGGGCGAAAGACUAAUCGAACCAUUCAGUUGCAC